rnacentral:rRNA from 1 species
AGAGUUUGAUCCUGGCUCAGAACGAACGCUGGCGGCAGGCUUAACACAUGCAAGUCGAACGCACCGCAAGGUGAGUGGCAGACGGGUGAGUAACGCGUGGGAACGUGCCCUUCAGUUCGGAAUAACCCAGGGAAACUUGGGCUAAUACCGGAUACGUGCGAGAGCAGAAAGAUUUAUCGCUGAAGGAUCGGCCCGCGUCUGAUUAGCUAGUUGGUAGGGUAAUGGCCUACCAAGGCGACGAUCAGUAGCUGGUCUGAGAGGAUGAUCAGCCACAUUGGGACUGAGACACGGCCCAAACUCCUACGGGAGGCAGCAGUGGGGAAUAUUGGACAAUGGGCGCAAGCCUGAUCCAGCCAUGCCGCGUGAGUGAUGAAGGCCUUAGGGUUGUAAAGCUCUUUCAGCGGGGACGAUAAUGACGGUACCCGCAGAAGAAGCCCCGGCUAACUUCGUGCCAGCAGCCGCGGUAAUACGAAGGGGGCUAGCGUUGUUCGGAAUCACUGGGCGUAAAGGGCGCGUAGGCGGCUUGAUAAGUCGGGGGUGAAAGCCUGUGGCUCAACCACAGAAUUGCCUUCGAUACUGUCUGGCUUGAGACCGGAAGAGGUAAGUGGAACUGCGAGUGUAGAGGUGAAAUUCGUAGAUAUUCGCAAGAACACCAGUGGCGAAGGCGGCUUACUGGUCCGGUUCUGACGCUGAGGCGCGAAAGCGUGGGGAGCAAACAGGAUUAGAUACCCUAGUAGUCC